rnacentral:misc_RNA from 1 species
GGUGAACAUGCCCUUGAGGGUGAAUCUGCAUGCUUCCACAGUGAAGAUGAAUCGGCAAGAAGUCCUCAAGGCAGUUCAGCUAGAAGAAAUGGCCUAGAUAGUCCAUCUUCUGAUGUUUUUGCAAAGAGUAUUGAUCCAGAUGCAGAAACACAUCUUUUUGAUGAAUCAACUUGGGGCNNNNNNNNNNNNGUAAAUGACUUAUAAUAAUUAUUUAUAUAAAUUGUAUUAGUACUAAGGAUUCAGAAUUUGGAACUGGUGAUUUUGGUGUAAAGCCAAUAAGAACGGAAUCUCCAUCCUCAGAGAUUUUUCAGAAAAAGAGUCCAUUUUUUUGAAGAGUUGCUGGCUCACCGGUCUCCAGGUUCGGCAACUCUCCAAGAUACAGUGAAGCAGGUUUUCUGAAAAAUAAGUUUUGAUAAUUUCUCAAGAUUUGAAUCAUUCAGCGUGCAUGAAGGCGGAUUUUCUCCAAGAGAGAAGCUGACAAGGUUUGAUUCCACAAGCAGCACAAAAGACUUAGGCCAUAGUCGUGCCUUCUCUUCUUUUGACGAUGCAGACCCAUUUGGUCCCAGUGGACCAUUUAAGGUUUCAUCAGACAAUAAAUCUCCCAAAAAAGGUUAUGAAAGUUGGGGUGCUUUCUAGUUGUCUGAUGAAACCUUAAAUGGUCCACUGGGACCAAAUGGGUCUGCAUCGUCAAAAGAAGAGAAGGCGGUUGAGAGCUCGACUGUUGUGAAGUUAUUUGUUUUUAUAUUAAAAUUCUGGAAUGCCAAA